GAUGAACGCUGGCGGCGUGCUUAACACAUGCAAGUCGAACGGUGAACGAGGGAGCUUGCUCCCUCCGGAUCAGUGGCGAACGGGUGAGUAACACGUGAGCAAUCUGCCCUGGACUCUGGGAUAAGCGUUGGAAACGACGUCUAAUACCGGAUACGAGGCGUGGGGGCAUCCCCAACGCCUGGAAAGAACUUCGGUCCAGGAUGAGCUCGCGGCCUAUCAGCUAGUUGGUGAGGUAACGGCUCACCAAGGUGACGACGGGUAGCCGGCCUGGGAGGGGGGACGGCCACACUGGGACUGAGACACGGACCAGACUCCUACGGGAGGCAGCAGUAAGGAAUAUUGGUCAAUGGGCGGGAGCCUGAACCAGCCAUGCCGCGUGCAGGAAGACGGCCUUAUGGGUUGUAAACUGCUUUUGUCGGGGAAUAAAUCUUUCUACGUGUAGAGAGUUGAAGGUACCCGAAGAAUAAGCAUCGGCUAACUCCGUGCCAG
rnacentral:rRNA from 1 species